rnacentral:other from 1 species
UAACCCCUGCAAUGUACGUAUUGAUGGCUAAUGUUUGAAAGAACCGAUACCCGUUCUGAAGGGAAAUCAGGCCUUAAUGGAUCGAACAAGCCUACUCGAUAGGAUUUUCGGACAUGAGCAACGAUUGCCCACCUUGCAGUAAUGGGUUCUUUUCAAACGCCUUCUUACGGCAUUUGUGGAGGAGGC